GGUACCUUUUCUUGGCUGAUGCCUUUAGCUGUAUGGCGUGCUCGUUUGGGUCAGGCAUCGGCUAAGAGUGCUCGGAGCAUGGAUUAACUCUAGUCUCCUAUCAGGUGAUUGAUUAUGGAAACGUUUCAACUUCAACCCUGAUUAUGGAAACGUUUCAACUUCAACCCAUAACAGGUAAUCCCUAAGCUUAGAUGGUUUGGAGCUGCGAGGGACUCGAAGAUGGCCA